GACGAACGCUGGCGGCAGGCCUAACACAUGCAAGUCGAGCGCCCCGCAAGGGGAGCGGCGGACGGGUGAGUAACACGUGGGAAUUUUCCUCAAGGUACGGAACAACUCAGGGAAACUUGGGCUAAUACCGUAUGAUGCAGAGAUGCCAAAGAUUUAUCGCCUUGGGAUAAGCCCGCGUCAGAUUAGGUAGUUGGUGGGGUAAUGGCCUACCAAGCCUGUGAUCUGUAGCUGGUCUGAGAGGACGAUCAGCCACAUUGGGACUGAGACACGGCCCAAACUCCUACGGGAGGCAGCAGUGGGAAUCUUGCGCAAUGGACGAAAGUCUGACGCAGCCAUGCCGCGUGAAUGAUGAAGGUCUUAGGAUUGUAAAGUUCUUUAGCCUGUGACGAUGAUGACGGUAACAGGAGAAUAAGCCCCGG
rnacentral:rRNA from 1 species